GUUCAGUGCUAUCCAAGUGACUCCCCCGGGAGAGGACAACUGGAAAUUUAUGCCUGGUGUCUUCCUGGACUCCGACCUAUGGACCUUCUUCCUUGGAUGAUUUUAACCUGUCUCCUUUUGCUGCAAUGAACCAUAACCAUAAGUAUAUCAGCUUUUCUAAUUUUUGUGAGUCCCUCAAGUGAAUUAUCAAACCUAAGGUAGUUUUGGGACCCCCAUCACAGAGAGUCAAACAGGGGCAGGGCAAGAAGAGCUGCUUUUCCUGGAAGGCUAAUGAGUCUGAACUUCGCCCUGGAGGUAAUCGUUAUAGUAACUCCAGGCUCUAACCUGGAGCUGACAUGAUAAGGUCAAAUGUACACCUCUAGAAGACUUCCGACUGCAGAGGGGAAUGGAUGGGGGAGCUGAGGGAGGAGAGCUGAAGCAGGAAGACCAUGGCCUGGAAAGAGAUGGCUGAACCAGUCCAGGUGGCGAGGAGUCCAUGUCAGCUGCCGUCAUCCACACCACAGAUCAGACAUGGCAAAGAGUGGCCAGGCCUUCUGAGUGAAGGUGAUCCAACCUGUCACCAAGCCUAAGGGCAAAUCCUGGCUGUGCUGUGAUGGCUCCAACAACCCCAAACAGCAGCGCAGAGGCUGCAGCCGCCCUCGGAGGCAUCGCUGGGAAACGCUCAUUAGCAGCCUUCCAUUGCUCACCCGCCCCAUCCCACCUCUGUGCAUCCCAGAUCAUCAGCCAAGUGCACAGCUGGCUUCCAUCCUCGGAGCCUUCCUCCUUCAUUUGCCUAUUCAGCAGUUACAAAGGCCUGAGUUGCAAAGGGGCUUACAACCCAUUCCACCCAGAAGAAAGAGAACUGAGACUGAGCAAGACAGAGAAUGGGUGGAAGGGGAGAUGAAACCAAGCAAUCUCUAGAUCCCAAAUGGGGACCCUGAUGUAGCAAGAGCCUCUUCUAAAUCCUUUUCCAAUAGGGUAAUAUGGAAAAUAGUUGAAAGCACAAGCCAAGUGGGGCUGGAAUCCCAAAUGGGCCAUUUACUAGCUGUGUGACUGGACAAGUAAUUUCAUAUUUCUGGGCCUCGAUUUUUCUCAUCUGUAAAAUAGAAAAAAAAAAAAACCUAUGUCAUAACGUUGAUAUACAGAUUAGAUGAGCUAAGAUCUAAAAUGUCUUCUAUUCAGUAGGUGCUCAAUAAAUGUUAUCUAUUUUUA
rnacentral:antisense_RNA from 1 species